ACCGUAAAAGUGAAGAAAUUUUGGUUUAAANUUUGGAAGAUNNUUUAGGNNNNGGGAAGUUUAAGUUUUUUANAAAGGUAAAAUUUUGAAAAAAAUUAUUCUUUCANAAGNAGAAAGUUUUUAAAAAUUCAGAAGUGAAACUAGGAUUAGAUACCCUAUUAUUAUAGAAUAAAGAGAAAUNUAGGUAGUAAUGGAGGUCUUGAAACUUAAAGAAUUUGGCGGUGUUUUAAUCUAAUCAGAGGAACUUGUGUUUUAACUCGAAAUUACACGUUUUAUCUUACUUAAGUUUANGUUUGUAUAUCGUCGUAAAAAUAAAACUUUGAGGUGAGUAUUUAAUAUUAUUAAANUAAUGAAUUACAGAUCAAGGUUCAGCUNAUAUUUAAGNGUGACAUGAGUUACAAUACUACUUUAUGUAAAUGGAUAAUUUUCUNNGAAAAGNGAAUUUUGAAGGUGGAUUUGAAAGU
rnacentral:rRNA from 1 species